rnacentral:rRNA from 1 species
GGGGGAAUAGUGCACAAUGGGCGCAAGCCUGAUGCAGCCAUGCCGCGUGUGUGAAGAAGGCCUUCGGGUUGUAAAGUACUUUCAGUCGGGAGGAAGGUGGUAAGGUUAAUAACCUUAUCAAUUGACGUUACCGACAGAAGAAGCACCGGCUAACUCCGUGCCAGCAGCCGCGGUAAUACGGAGGGUGCAAGCGUUAAUCGGAAUUACUGGGCGUAAAGCGCACGCAGGCGGUUUGUUAAGUCAGAUGUGAAAUCCCCGGGCUCAACCUGGGAACUGCAUCUGAUACUGGCAAGCUUGAGUCUCGUAGAGGGGGGUAGAAUUCCAGGUGUAGCGGUGAAAUGCGUAGAGAUCUGGAGGAAUACCGGUGGCGAAGGCGGCCCCCUGGACGAAGACUGACGCUCAGGUGCGAAAGCGUGGGGAGCAAACAGG